rnacentral:rRNA from 1 species
GAGGUCUGAGGUACUACAGGGGUAGGAGUGAAAUCUUAUAAUCCUUGUAGGACCACCAGUGGCGAAGGCGUCAGACUGGAACGCGCCUGACGGUGAGGGACGAAAGCCAGGGGAGCGAACCGGAUUAGAUACCCGGGUAGUCCUGGCCGUAAACGAUGCACACUAGAUGAUGGUGCGGCCAUGAGCCGUAUCAGUGUCGUAGGGAAACCGUUAAGUGUGCCGCCUGGGAAGUACGGUCGCAAGGCUUAAACUUAAAGGAAUUGGCGGGGGAGCACCACAAGGGGUGAAGCCUGCGGUUCAAUUGGACUCAACGCCGGGCAACUUACCAGGGGAGACAGCAGAAUGAAGGUCAGGUUGACGACCUUACCUAACAAGCUGAGAGGAGGUGCAUGGCCGUCGCCAGUUCGUGCUGUGAGGUAUCCUGUUAAGUCAGGCAACGAACGAGACCCGUGCCUUUAUUUGCCAUCAAGAAGUCACGACUUCGUUGGGAACGAUAAAGGGACUGCCGUCGAUAAGACGGAGGAAGGAGCGGGCAAAGGCAGGUCAGUAUGCCCCGAAACCCCUGGGCUACACGCGGGCUGCAAUGGUGCGAACAAUGGGCUGUGACUCCGACAGGAGAAACCAAUCCCGAAAUCGCAUCUCGGUUGGGAUUGUCAACUGUAACCCGUUGACAUGAACGUGGAAUCCCCUAGUAAUCGCGUGUCACCAUCGCGCGGUGAUACGUCUCUGCUC